UACGGGGGGGAGCAAGCGUUGUUCGGAUUUACUGGGCGUAAAGGGCGCGUAGGCGGCGUGACAAGUCACUUGUGAAAUCUCCGGGCUUAACUCGGAGCGGUCAAGUGAUACUGUCGUGCUAGAGUGCGGAAGGGGCUACUGGAAUUCUCGGUGUAGCGGUGAAAUGCGUAGAUAUCUGGAGGAACACCGGUGGCGAAGGCGGCAUUCUGGACCGAUAUUGACGCUGAGGAGCGAAAGCCAGGGGAGCAAACGGG
rnacentral:rRNA from 1 species